CCCGGGGCGGCCGCGGCGGCGCGGGCAGCGCGAAGGACGGCGCGGGCAGCGCGGGCUGUGGGCACGGCCCCGUGUGGAUCCUCACACAUUUUCUGGUCCUCAUGGUGCAGAGACACUGGCAGGAAUGGAGACCUGGUCAAGACAAAGUCUUAAAUAAUGCAAGUGAAUACUCAGAGUAGUGUGUCCAUGGUGCUCUUAAAAGCAGACUCUUGUAAUGUAGCUCUGCUUUCUGAUGCAAAUGCAGGAAGAACAAAAAACAAAAGCAUCUUGGUUUGAUGAUGUUGCAUUUCUUCAUAAGAGUCAGCUGCCAGUUUGUUGGGAGUAGUGGUGUAAGAGACAGGCACUUGUGUUUAAAGUCUCUUGUGACUUGCAAGUUUGAAAUUCAGAUAAAACCCAAGUUAUUUUUGGUUCUGGGAAUGGGCCAUAGUCUGCUAAUAGUGGUAACACUAUGAUCAAACCUCUGUGUUUAUGUGUAUUGUCCAUGGUUCUCUGUCUGGAUUUUCUCAGCAGACUUUCCUCAGGUGCCAAAAUCAGUGCCAAGAGCCUGACUGGUUGGGAAUGUGCCAUAAAUAUGGGAUUUCAGUGCUGAUUGUUUCUGUGGUUCUAAACUCUCAGGUGUAAAAUUUCCACUUUGCAGUAUCCCGAGUAUAAAUCAGCAGAAUGUAGAGCAGACAAAACCAUUUCUCAGUGGAAGAAAGGGGUUGUUGAACAACAGAGCAAAUCAGGGGACCACAGAAGCAGAGUCCUAGUCCAGCUGAAACUUGUGUGCACUUGAAGUCACAACCCCUGAGUUACCUCUCUAGUACUGCCAUUGCCAUUCUUAACCCCCUAUACCCUGCCUGAAUUGCUGGCUUUGAAUUUCCAGAUGCUCUUAUUUCUUUCUGUAUUUAUUUAUUUAGUUGCUGUCACUUCCAAGUCAGGUAGCAAAUUUGAAGGAGCAGUAGAUCUGUCCCUGUUGGACACAAUUGAAAUCUCAUGGUCUUCCACAAAAUAAAGUAGUCUGGGCAUACUUUAUAGUCACCUGCGGCAAGAUCUACCCCUGGAAAAACUGUGCUGUUUGAAGCUGGGUAUAUCAAUUCUAAUUGGUUUGGUUUUCAUUCCUGCUCUUUGAAGUUCUGGGCAGCUGCAAGCCUUGACCAGCUAAUCAUAUGAGGGCAGAGGUCAUCUCUUUAGCCAAGAGUCUGCAGAAGUUCAGGAGUCAUGUGUGAUCUCUACUGAUGCUGCUGUUUAAGAAAGGAUUUUGAGGUGUGGAGUCAACAUUAUGCUCCCAGUAGCUCAGGAGGCCUCAGACUAUGAGGCAAAUCCUUCUGCAGCAGAGCAGGCAAAAUGUGAUGAGACAGCCUUGGAUUCAUGUGGCAAAGUAUAUGUAUUGAAAGACAGCAACAAAAAAAGCAGACUGACCAACAGAACCCACAGGAUGCCAUUUUGUGUCCUACAAAACAUAAAUCUAAUACUUGUAUUGUUGCCAUCUUGCCAAAUUUUAGUCAACCUGCCUGAAAUACGUGGCUGUUUGGCACAUGAGGGAAAGCAGCAUAAACUAGUAAAAUCUGCCAGUAGGUCAGGGAGAAAGCAGUUUCAUUAAUGCUUUUCUUUUUCUGCAUUUGUUUUCCUUACUGUUGUUUUCUUUUACUCCAAGGUAAACAAAGAAAAGCUUAAAUUACUGAUCCAUUUUCUUGAUACUUGGAACAAAAAAUCCUGUGGUACUUCCUUUUUAUACUCUAGCAGUGGCUUUUCUAUUGUCCAGGAGUUUGUAUUUAAAUUACCUGCAAUUUUCUUCGUAACUGCCCACUCUAAAGUUCUGGUGGGUGUUGUGUGAUGAUCUGCGUUUUAACAGCAUAUGGUGGUCAAGAAACUGGGGAAGCUGAUCUAAACCCCAAGGUUUUGGGUUGUUUUAUGUUUUUUUCCCACAAAAAAUGCAAAUGCUUUUGCUAGCAAUAAGGAAACCUAUACAUGGAUAGGAGAAUUAUUAUUGAAAAUAGGAAAAAAAUCAUCACAAUGCUCUUUAUUACUAUGUUGAAGAAAAAAUUGCUUUUUAAUCUCAUAAAUACUUUCCUAGCAUUGGGUAGUAAGGGGAGUGAACUAGUCUAGGAAAUGGGUUAUUAUAAAGAAAAAAGUACAGGGUUUUUUAAUGAAAAUUUUGAAAAUAAAGGCUGAAUGCUGUUGUUAUAGACCUUAAUUAUUAUUAUUCUGUCUUGCUUGAAUAAUGUGGUCGUUUUUGUCUAUUGCCCUUUCUGUCCUUGGUUAGGAUGAGUUUAAAGCCUGGAUUGUCUUUGAAAGGCUUAAUGUGGGAAUGCAUCUGGGAGUUAAGUGGUAAUUCAUGGUCAUAAGAAGUCCACACAGUCACCAGGUAAGCAGCAAUAUCCAUCCCUGUGCAGCAACAUGUCAUCAAUUCAGUGUAAACAUGGAAAACCAUGAAUUUGUGUCAUCACCUUAACUGUAUUCUGAGCUGUGUGAUGAAAUUCAGAAAACAGGGCAUUUUGGGCUGUUUUGUAGAUUUGCUGUGUAAGAGACCAGUUCUGUGCAUGCCAGCAUGAGCACAGGACCCUUUGCUGAAGCUCUACCAGCAGAAGAAACAACUGCUGGAAGAUCUGUAUCCUAUUUUUGCACUGUAUAGAUCUGUGUUAUACUAACUGACAGUUUCUGCUGACUUGGAGAAAUAAAUGUCAAAAAUUACACUUGUCCAGGAGGUGGUUCCUUUACAGUGCUAUUGUUGGUAGUUUUUUAGACCUUUUUUUUAGCUGUGCCUGUACCUCCCACCUCCAGCACUUUUGCUUGUGUCUUUGGUGUGCAUUCCAAAUGUGAAAAUGCUUUCAUUUAUGAUAAUAGUUUUAGGUGAAUGUCUGUCUUCCUCCUAGGAACCAGAUGUGGCAGCUUAUGACUUGCCACCUUCCAAAGAAAUCACUUGUUUGACAGGAGAUGAUCCUGAGCAAGGAUCUCUGCUCUUCCAAAACAGUGCAGAGAAAGUGACAUUUCUUGCAUGUGUUUCCAUGCAGGAGUUUGAGAAGGUGAUAAUAAAAUACUGUGUAUAUAUUAACUUAUCUUCAGAUUGACUGUUGUAACUUAAUAGAAUUUGGCAAGUGCUGUAAAGAAGAGGAAAAAAAAUCCCAUCUUUGUGUUUCUAUGGUGGUUUUAUGUGUAUUGACUUAAUAUUAGUUGCUGGGCUGAUACCUUUGUAGCCUGCUGGUUUUCUGGCUUGGAAAUGAAAAACAAAUCACAUUUCUAAACCAGCUCUGAGAAAAAUUAUGAGGAUUUUUUUGUAAGCAUUUGAAAUGAGCCAAUCCUGAUGCUCAGCAAACCAGGUGAAUGGAUAUCUUGUUAACUUUUGUUAAUCCUGGGACAGAAUCCAAUAUUACCCAAAAUCCUUUAUUAUCUGGUAUUUUUGUUUUUCUCCAAGAACAGAGGAUGUCACAUGCUCUUACUGGAUGUAAUUUAGUGCUUCAUACACACAUCUUUUUGAGAAAGUAUCUGGGAAUUACUUAUUUUAAAAGCCUCAACUGUUGUGCAUGUUGCUUUCUAUGUGGAUGUCUAAAAGGACAAAAUCUUCAAUAACCAGUCUAAGACACUAUUUUGGCUGUAAUCUCUCUUCCCUGUCCAUUUCUUACAACAUCAACCACUUUUAAAAUCAGGUGUUUUGCACAUGGUAGAUACUAAAGCUUGUAAUGGUGCACAGGUGAGAGUUUUAAAGGUGCAAACAGCAGAAGCAGCUUAGGGACAUUGGGUGUGGCAGAGUCAAAACCUCAGCUCAAGAAGCUCCAUCUUGCAUUUACUAAACACAAACAAUGAUAGUUCUCCAUCCUUGUCUAAGCAGUUCAGGAUUCCCUUACGGCAAUGGAUGAGUCAGGGCAUUUCAAAUGAAAUAAAAAAUUAUGCUUAAAUCUGCAGACUUAGUUGCUGUAGGACAACUCUCUUGUAUUUUUGAAUCUUCCCAAAAUUAGGUGGCAUUCCAUUAAUUUGAUGUAUAGGACACAAUGGGGUUGUACUCAAAGCAUGUAUACGUGUUCUUCAUAUGUAACUGUAGGAUAAGCAAAACGCCAAACUGAAAUGUCCUUUUUUUUGUUUGCUGGUUUUUAUUUUCUUAAGUUUGCUAUUAUCAAGAGGCAGGUUAUGCUUGGAAUUUCUCUAGGGGUGCUCCACUGUGUCUUGUGUAUGUCAGUAAAUAGUUGGAACAGGCCUCUCAGAGCUCUCACAGAGCUCUCACAGGAUGAUGUGAGGAAGACGGGUAGUUUCUACUAUCAGCUUGACAUUCAUAAAAUCCAAAGCUAACCCUGCCUUUAAGUACAUUUUUCCUUUCUUUCUCCUUCAGCUGCACUUCAGUUGGGAACCUGUGAAACAGGAAAUCCCUAGGAAUGGUUGGGAGAAUUUCCCAUCUUAUAGUUUCUCAAGAUGCAGUUUGGUUUGUUUGGAAGCUUGAGUUGUGUAUUUGUAUAAAUAUACUCAGUGCUGCUGAAGUCAGUUUGUGAGAUGUUCUCUAAUGGUGAUUUGGUUUUUCUGUCUGUAAGUGAGUCCUGUGGUUUCUCUUGUGAGAAGAGUCAAAACAGUUUUUCUCCAUGGGUAUGUAAUUGCAAAUUGAGAGCUGAGUGAGAGGAAGGAAAUUGCCAUUAGUCCCAAUGGAACAAAAGUUUCUUGGGAAUUGGGGCAGAAUAGGGAAGCUUCACUGAGAAUCUGCAAUGUUUUCCAAAGUCUUGAUACUCCUAACUCGGUUCUUUUUCUGCCACUAGUAGAUGCAAAAACUUUCACUGGAAAUUGUGAAUUCAAAUCUUGACAUAACAAAAUACUUGUCCAAUGGCUUCUUAGUAUCACUGAGAAGAAAGUCUCUCUAGUAUUCCUUCCUCUCAAUCAAAAAUAUCCACUUCCCCUGAUGAACUCAGAUGCUUGCAUGUAGGCAUCCAAGCUACUGGAGUCUGGUCUAGAGACCAUGAAAGUAAUGAUGUAACUGGCACUAUUUUAAAGAUAACAAAAGUUUGAAAGUGCAUGAAUACGUUUUUUCCCCAAGGGUAAUUAUAUUAAAAAAAGGACCAGGAUAUGGUCUUAAGAAAUUUAUAUUGGUCCUGUUCAGAUCAUAGUUUUUGUUUCCUUUACUGUAUGAAUAGUUUUUGUUUUCCUGUGUGAUUUUUAAGUACUUCUGUUGUCAGUCAUGUAAUUGGUUUGAGUUUCUUUUCAGUAAGUGAUUGGUUUUGUUUUUAUUACAUAUUCUUUCAGUGCAGGCAAAUCUCUAAUGAAAAAUCCCAAAGACUUGAACCUUCAGGUUCUGGAAUACCUUCUGAAGAGACUUUCUGCUCAGUAAAGAUCAAGUUCCAUUUUUAAUGGAUCAGUCCAGAUAAGCUUUCAAAAUUUAAACACUUACAUGAUUUCCUGAAUAAAGGAACUCUAAUAAGACACA